UGGGGAAUAUUGCACAAUGGGCGAAAGCCUGAUGCAGCAACGCCGCGUGAGUGAUGAAGGCCUUCGGGUUGUAAAGCUCUGUCUUUUGGGACGAUAAUGACGGUACCAAAGGAGGAAGCCACGGCUAACUACGUGCCAGCAGCCGCGGUAAUACGUAGGUGGCAAGCGUUGUCCGGAUUUACUGGGCGUAAAGGAUGCGUAGGCGGAUUUUUAAGUGAGAUGUGAAAACCCUAAGCUUAACUUGGGGACUGCAUUUCACACUGGAAAUCUAGAGUGCGGGAGAGGAGAAUGGAAUUCCUAGUGUAGCGGUGAAAUGCGUAGAGAUUAGGAAGAACACCAGUGGCGAAGGCGAUUCUCUGGACCGUAACUGACGCUGAGGCAUGAAAGCGUGGGUAGCAAACAGGAUUAGAUACCCUGGUAGUCCUGGCCGUAAACGAUGGGUACUAGGUGUGGGAGGUAUCGACCCCUUCCGUGCCGGAGUUAACGCAAUAAGUACCCGCCUGGGGAGUACGGUCGCAAGACUGAAA
rnacentral:rRNA from 1 species